rnacentral:lncRNA from 1 species
ACUUCGGUAUGACUGGUGUUCUUAUAAAAAGGGGAAGUUUGGACAUAGAGACACAAAUACACAAGGAAAGCUCCAUGGAAGAUAAAGGCAGAGAUUUACAAGCCAAGGAAUGUCAAAGACGGCCAGCACACCACCAGAAGCUAGCAGAGAGGUAUGGAACAGAUUCUUCUUCACAACCUCAGAGGGAAAACCCUGCUGAUACCUGGAUUUCAAACUCCUGGCCUCCAGAACGAAGUCCCUGGAGAGAGGACGUGAUGUCUGAAGCUAUGGCAGCCAUCUUGUAACUAUGAGGCCACAAACAAGAAAAGCAAAAACCAGAGUGAAGCAUGGCAGAGCAGAAAGAUGGAAAGAACCUGGAUACAUAAGAGUGUCACUGUGCAGCUGUACCCACCCUAGACUGCAUAUACCUGGACUUUAAGUAAAUGACAAAUAUCCUUUAUUCUAUCUCAAGCCAUUGCUUCUUCAUCUUUUUUGUGUCAUGACAAUCACAGUGGGCGGUAAUAUUUGUACUGCCCUCUGGGGAACACAGAGGAGACUGCUGGCACCUGAGGUGAACUAUGCUGGGGGCUUCAGCUGCCCCAGGACUCCUCCCUACCUUGAAGCCUGAGGGGAUACAUAUCUCUCUGCACAUCUCUUUGUGGCUCAUCAAUGGGCCUCACCAUACACGUUGAAAAGUUCUAGUUUAAGCCAUACUUACCUGUUACUUGGCUGAAUGCACUUCUAAGUAAAACUUGGACUCAAUGCUGCUUGUCAA